rnacentral:tRNA from 1 species
UGGGUUGUGGCUAAUUGGCAGAGCGUUUGCCUGGGAAGCUUGAGGCACUGAGUUCGAUCUCAGCACCACAA